rnacentral:rRNA from 1 species
UACGAGGGGGGCAAGUGUUGUUCGGAAUUACUGGGCGUAAAGGGAGCGUAGGCGGGCUCUUAAGUUGGAUGUUUAAAACCGGGGCCUAACCCCGGCGUGGCAUCCAAAACUGGGAGUCUUGAAUGGGACAGAGGCCAGUGGAAUUAGAGGUGUAGCGGUGGAAUGCGUAGAUAUCUCUAAGAACACCAGUUGCGAAGGCGGCUGGCUGGGUCCACAUUGACGCUGAGGCUCGAAAGCGGUGGGGAGCAAACAGG